UAAAACACCUUGAGAUAUAUAUUUAUAAUUUAUUAAUUUUUAUCGUAUAAAUGUAUCGUGUUUAACAUUCAUGGACCCAUGUUGUGUAACAUCGAGACAAGCUUGUGUCAUCGGGCUGUGGCCUUAGGGUCAGUCGUCGACCCUCCAGUAUUGUCCUACAAUUUUCCCCGCUUCAACCCGUCAAUCAUUAACCUUAAGGUUGUCGUCGUUCACCCUUUUUCCUCCUCCCCCUUUCCUUUCAUUCCCUUCUUAUCUCCUUCUUUGUCUCUCCCUCUCCUCUCAUUCCCUUUUCUCCUCAUUUUACCACCUCGCGGUUGCUUCUGUUGUGGUCUCCAAUUUGGUUAUCAUUGCUGACCUCGCCAAAAAUUGUUGGGACCUAGUGUCUUUAAUGUAGUGAUUUCAUCUAUAUGAACUUAUAUUUUUCAAACAAAUUAGUUUAAUAAAAUAUCCAUCAAUUCUAUUAUAUAUCCAUAUAUUGUCCUCAAUAUUUUUUACACACAAAGUAAAAUGAAAGAAAAUUGGAGGGAUUAGCUCUUACGAGCAUUGAUGUGUUUCGAAUGGAUUGGCUCUUAUGAGCAUCUGGUGUGUUUUGGUUGGAUUGUUGAUGUACUCGUAUCUAUAAGAUGUUCAUCAAAUUGAAAAUCUCGAUAAGGUAUCUUGUUUCAUGAUUUUAAUGGAAUUGCUAUAUAUAUAUUGAGUAUUGAAUUGAAUGUUGGUGAUUUUUCGGUUAAGGUUGUGAAUAACAGGAAACAUUCAUGGUUGGCUUAUUAUUAUUUGAAUUGUUGCACUUACUUCGGUAAGAUUUAUUGUUUUAAUACGUCAAACUUACUAAGCUUCAUUAAGCUUACUUGUGUUAUUUACUGUUAUUGUAGAUACUCAAGGUUGGACGAUUGGAUCGGCACUCAAGUCACACACUAUCCAACUUAAUUCAAUAGUUUUUGGAAUGUUUGUUUCGGAUUAUAUGGUAUGUAAUAGGCUUUUGUGUUGUUAUUACUAAUUUUUUGAAAUAAGUAAAAUGUUAAGUAUGAUAUUAUGUGUAAAUGCCAACUUAUAUAAUGUAUGUGAUUAAGGUAAGGUUCUAACGCAAAUAUGAAUGAUAUGUGUCAAUGAUAUGUUGUGAUUGAGGUACCUAUGAUAGGUACAUUGGUUAGGUAUUAGAAUGGAUGAUUUGAUAAGUUGUGUUUGAUGUUUUAUUUUUAUAUAUAAUUGUAUAUACUCGUGGUAUCAAUGAGGAUACAUUGGUUAGGCAUUUAGAAUGUUGAUUUAGCAUGUUUUUGGCUUGUUUAAUGUCACUUUGAAUAGGUCUUUGGGCUGCUAAAUGGUUUGCUUAGAACCCAAGUAAGCUUGAUAUGGUAAACAUGUUGUUUAAGUUUCAUUUUAGGUCCACACGGCCUGAGACACAAGCAUGUGGCUUAGCCGUGUGUGACACACGGUCUGGCGACACGACUUUGUGUCCCUUGUAGGUUCCAUUGCAUGCAAGUCAAGUAGCACACGGCCU
rnacentral:lncRNA from 1 species